AACGAACGCUGGCGGCAGGCUUAACACAUGCAAGUCGAGCGCCCCGCAAGGGGAGCGGCAGACGGGUGAGUAACGCGUGGGAAUCUACCCAUCUCUACGGAAUAACGCAUGGAAACGUGUGCUAAUACCGUAUACGUCCUUCGGGAGAAAGAUUUAUCGGAGAUGGAUGAGCCCGCGGUGGAUUAGCUAGUUGGUGGGGUAAAGGCCUACCAAGGCGACGAUCCAUAGCUGGUCUGAGAGGAUGAUCAGCCACACUGGGACUGAGACACGGCCCAGACUCCGACGGGAGGCAGCAGUGGGGAAUAUUGGACAAUGGGCGCAAGCCUGAUCCAGCCAUGCCGCGUGAGUGAUGAAGGCCCUAGGGUUGUAAAGCUCUUUCACCGGUGAAGAUAAUGACGGUAACCGGAGAAGAAGCCCCGGCUAACUUCGUGCCAGCCGCCGCAGUAAUAC
rnacentral:rRNA from 1 species